CCUACGGGGGGCAGCAGUAGGGAAUCUUCCGCAAUGGACGAAAGUCUGACGGAGCAACGCCGCGUGAGCGAAGAAGGCCUUCGGGUCGUAAAGCUCUGUUGUUAGGGAAGAACAAGUAACGCAGUAACUGGCGUUACCGUGACGGUACCUAACGAGAAAGCCACGGCUAACUACGUGCCAGCAGCCGCGGUAAUACGUAGGUGGCAAGCGUUGUCCGGAAUUAUUGGGCGUAAAGCGCGCGCAGGCGGUUCCUUAAGUCUGAUGUGAAAGCCCACGGCUCAACCGUGGAGGGUCAUUGGAAACUGGGGGACUUGAGUGCAGAAGAGGAGAGCGGAAUUCCACGUGUAGCGGUGAAAUGCGUAGAGAUGUGGAGGAACACCAGUGGCGAAGGCGGCUCUCUGGUCUGUAACUGACGCUGAGGCGCGAAAGCGUGGGGAGCAAACAGGAUUAGAUACCCGGGUAGUC
rnacentral:rRNA from 1 species